rnacentral:sRNA from 1 species
AGUCGAGCGGACUUGAGGGAGCUUGCUCCCGAAAGUUAGCGGCGGACGGGUGAGUAACACGUGGGCAACCUGCCUAUAAGACUGGGAUAACUUCGGGAAACCGGAGCUAAUACCGGAUAAUUCUUUCUCUCUCAUGAGGGAAAGCUGAAAGACGGUUCUGCUGUCACUUAUAGAUGGGCCCGCGGCGCAUUAGCUAGUUGGUGUUUUUUCUGCUCACCAAGGAAAAGAUGCGUAGCCGACCUGAGAGGGUGAUCGGCCACACUGNCUUCGUCACACGGCGAAGNCUCCUACNUNAAGUCGGUGU